AGAGUUUGAUCCUGGCUCAGGAUGAACGCUGGCGGCGUGCCUAAUACAUGCAAGUCGAGCGAACAGAUAAGGAGCUUGCUCCUUUGAAGUUAGCGGCGGACGGGUGAGUAACACGUGGGUAACCUACCUAUAAGACUGGGAUAACUUCGGGAAACCGGAGCUAAUACCGGAUAACAUUUAGAACCGCAUGGUUCUAAAGUGAAAGAUGGUUUUGCUAUCACUUAUAGAUGGACCCGCGCCGUAUUAGCUAGUUGGUAAGGUAACGGCUUACCAAGGCGACGAUACGUAGCCGACCUGAGAGGGUGAUCGGCCACACUGGAACUGAGACACGGUCCAGAUUCCUACGGGAGGCAGCAGUAGGGAAUCUUCCGCAAUGGGCGAAAGCCUGACGGAGCAACGCCGCGUGAGUGAUGAAGGGUUUCGGCUCGUAAAACUCUGUUAUUAGGGAAGAACAAAUGUGUAAGUAACUGUGCACAUCUUGACGGUACCUAAUCAGAAAGCCACGGCUAACUACGUG
rnacentral:rRNA from 1 species